UAUUGGUGGAUGCAUGGUUGAGACCUUC
rnacentral:piRNA from 1 species